UACGUAGGGUGCAAGCGUUAAUCGGAAUUACUGGGCGUAAAGCGUGCGCAGGCGGUUUUGUAAGUCUGUCGUGAAAUCCCCGGGCUCAACCUGGGAAUUGCGAUGGAGACUGCAAGGCUAGAAUCUGGCAGAGGGGGGUAGAAUUCCACGUGUAGCAGUGAAAUGCGUAGAGAUGUGGAGGAACACCGAUGGCGAAGGCAGCCCCCUGGGUCAAGAUUGACGCUCAUGCACGAAAGCGUGGGGAGCAAACAGA
rnacentral:rRNA from 1 species